rnacentral:rRNA from 1 species
UACAGAGGUCCCCAAGCGUUGUUCGGAUUCAUUGGGCGUAAAGGGUGCGUAGGCGGCGCGGUAAGUCGGGUGUGAAAUCUCGGAGCUUAACUCCGAAACUGCAUUCGAUACUGCCGUGCUUGAGGACUGGAGAGGAGACUGGAAUUUACGGUGUAGCGGUGAAAUGCGCAGAUAUCAGGAGGAACACCGGUGGCGAAGGCGGGUCUCUGGGCCGAUGACUGACGCUGAGGAGCGAAAGCGUGGGGAGCGAACAGG